rnacentral:rRNA from 1 species
UAUACAUGCAAGUCGAGCGGACUUUUAAAGCUUGCUUUUGAAAGGUCAGCGGCGGACGGGUGAGUAACACGUGGGCAACCUGCCUGUAAGACUGGGAUAACUUCGGGAAACCGGAGCUAAUACCGGAUAAUAUAAGGAACCUCCUGGUUCUUUAUUGAAAGAUGGUUUCGGCUAUCACUUACAGAUGGGCCCGCGGCGCAUUAGCUAGUUGGUGAGGUAAUGGCUCACCAAGGCGACGAUGCGUAGCCGACCUGAGAGGGUGAUCGGCCACACUGGGACUGAGACACGGCCCAGACUCCUACGGGAGGCAGCAGUAGGGAAUCUUCCACAAUGGACGAAAGUCUGAUGGAGCAACGCCGCGUGAGCGAUGAAGGCCUUCGGGUCGUAAAGCUCUGUUGUUAGGGAAGAACAAGUGCGAGAGUAACUGCUCGCACCUUGACGGUACCUAACCAGAAAGCCACGGCUAACUACGUGCCAGCAGCCGCGGUAAUACGUAGGUGGCAAGCGUUGUCCGGAAUUAUUGGGCGUAAAGCGCGCGCAGGUGGUCCUUUAAGUCUGAUGUGAAAGCCCACGGCUCAACCGUGGAGGGUCAUUGGAAA